CCUACGGGUGGCAGCAGUGAGGAAUAUUGGUCAAUGGGCGCUAGCCUGAACCAGCCAAGCAGCGUGAAGGAUGACUGCCCUAUGGGUUGAAAACUUCUUUUAUAUGGGAAUAAAGUGCAGUAUGUAUAAUGCUUUGCAUGUACCUUAUGAACAAGGAUCGGCUAACUCCGUGCCAGCAGCCGCGGUAAUACGGAGGAUCCGAGCGAUAUCCGGAUUUAUUGGGUUUAAAGGGAGCGUAGGCGGGUUGUUAAGUCAGUUGUGAAAGUUUGCGGCUCAACCGUAGAAUUGCAGUUGAUACUGGCAUCCUUGAGUACAGUAGAGGUGGGUGGAAUUCGUGGUGUAGCGGUGAAAUGCUUAGAUAUCACGAAGAACUCCGAUUGCGAAGGCAGCCUGCUGGACUAUAACUGACGCUGAUGUGCGAAAGUGUGGGUAUCAAACAGGAUUAGAUACCCGUGUAGUC
rnacentral:rRNA from 1 species